rnacentral:rRNA from 1 species
UACGUAGGGGGCGAGCGUUGUCCGGAUUCAUUGGGCGUAAAGAGCUCGUAGGCGGUUCAGUAAGUCAGGUGUGAAAGCUCCGAGCUCAACUCGGAGACGCCAUCUGAUACUGCUGUGACUAGAAUCCAGUAGGGGAGUGUGGAACUCCUGGUGUAGCGGUGGAAUGCGCAGAUAUCAGGAAGAACACCAGCGGCGAAGGCGGCACUCUGGGCUGGUAUUGACGCUGAGGAGCGAAAGUGUGGGUAGCAAACAGG